AGCUUUGUGCAGUGGCAGUAUUGUAGCCAAUGAGGUUUAUCUGAGAUGUGAUUAGUGCUAACUGAAACAGAUUCAUAGUGCACAGAAAGUGGGAUUUGUAGUUAGCUACAUCUAGA
ensembl:snRNA U4 U4 spliceosomal RNA